rnacentral:sRNA from 1 species
AGAAGACGAAAAAAAAA